rnacentral:lncRNA from 1 species
UCAACAGUAUAAUGUCGUUCCGGUUACAGUUGUAAAUCCAAACAAAGAAUACUAAUAUAAAAUAUCAUAUAUUUAGUCUUUAACAAAAUACAGAGGUAUUAUCUAUUUGCAUUAUUUAGCAUUUUUUUUCAUGCACUCAGGAACUAGCUUCAAAAAGUUAUUUUUCGUUGACAAAUGAUGUACUGCAAUGAAUGGCUAUAUUAUAUCUCGUAUAUCUGCAGGAAUUCAUAUACCUAAAUAUAUUAACAAACAACACAAAACUCCACAAAAUGUUCACGUCUUAUGGUAAGUAUAUAGCCGAUGUCUAAAUCUUCAUAUUAUCGUAAAUGCCCAUGUUCCUCUCUGCUUUUUUGU